rnacentral:rRNA from 1 species
CCCUUAGACGUUCUGGGCCGCACGCGCGCUACACUGACCAGUGCAACAACCAUCCGUCCUUGGCCGACAGGCUCGGGCAAUCUUUGAACGCUGGUCGUGAUGGGGAUAGACUUUUGCAAUUUUUGGUCUUCAACGAGGAAUUCCUAGUAAACGCAAGUCAUCAACUUGCAUUGAUUACGUCCCUGCCCUUUGUACACACCGCCCGUCGCACCUACCGAUUGAAUGGUCCGGUGAAGCCUCCGGAUUGGCGCGCACCUCGGUGCCGCCGAGAAGUUGGCUAAACCUUACCAUUUAGAGGAAGGUGAAGUCGUAACA